UCCUUCUCACAAACAAACGGGGUUUUGGGAUGUUUUCGGGGCAAACGGCCGGAUCGUUAGCGCCCUUCAGAGUGCGGAUCAUUACCGCGUUAAACAGGAGACUAUAACUCUCAGCUCCAAGUCUUUUGUUGGGCUGCUUAAGGCACUAAAUAUUAAAGGUCUUUAUACUCCAUUUUUCAGUUUUGGACAAACUGCCAAAUGCUGAAUGGUGUCUGUCCUCAAUAGCUAUAUACACUCAUGCUUGAUAUAACAGCAAAUAUGCAUUUUUCAGGUUAGCAUAUAAGUAUGUGAUGACCUGAAAGUCAGUUCAACACGGUCCGCUAAAUAGAUAAAUGUAACCGUGGAGCGUCAUUGAAGAGUGACGGUAGAUCUGCGGUCUUUUCCCGUGUGAACGCGUAGGUGUUGACAGUUUGUGCCAAACGCCUAACGGAAAUGCCCCCGCAGCCAGUCACACGGCUCGUGUGAGUCCAAUCAUGGGAAAGCAAGCUUUUCUUUGUCGUGAGGUCUUUAUGGGGUUCGCGAAACGUUCGCAUGAACUUAACAUGCAGGAGUGUGCGUUAGCAUGACUGAAGGAGGUGGUACGAAGAAAACCAGAGCAGUUUCACGUAAGGGAAAAACAAAACAGUUUGGGAGCUUCAGCCAAAGUGCACAGUGUUGACUGUUGUAUUACUCUGUCAUCUGUGCAGCUAGAUUAUUAGAUUAUAAAUUGGGAGAAACACAGUCACCUAAAGUGAUUUUUGUAGAAAUUACAUUAUAAAAAUCAGACUUCAAUAUUCAAUUUCCAAAUAAAAUGUUUGUUUUUUCGUCUGCAGGCCUGGUACCGAACAAGGGCGUAGGUUUGGUUUCAACACCAAAUCAGUCCUGAACCAAAUUAAUUGGUAGAGACACCCAUACCAAAAUUUACACCAUUGGUACUGGAUAAGCAAUUGGAAGCUGCAUAGAUGGAUGGAUUUUUCGUUAUUUUUUCAGUUCCGUUUCCAUCGAUCUGCUCCAUCUGUAUCCGUUUGUUUGCACUGUCCCUUCCUGCCUCUCUUCUCCCUGUGUCUUUGUCACCCCCUACAUGUCAUGCAGGAAUCGGACGGGGCCCCUUUUGGCUUAAGGUGAUAUAGGAACCUUCAUCGAUAUAGAUAUAAAAAUGCACAGCAAAGCUCCCCGCAACAUCCGUUCAGGUUCUGCCGCUCCGUCCCCCGCCGCUCGUCAUCGGAAACCUGAAGAGGGCGCCGCAGGCCCGACACGUCAUGAGGGAAGGUGCAGAGAUGGUUACCGUUGGGACCUGACUUUCAGAAACCUCCACGGUGAACGAGACACCUCUCGGGAAAGCGAGUCCGCAGAUUAGGAUGGCUCCGGGGGGGCGGCUGCAUGCUGAGGCUGGUCGAGAAGCUUUUUAAGUGCCGUGGGGAUGGAGGCUGUUUCAUGUCGUCCGUGACGUGAUGUGGUGUCACACUAC